UACGGGAGGCAGCAGUGGGGAAUAUUGCACAAUGGGCGCAAGCCUGAUGCAGCCAUGCCGCGUGUAUGAAGAAGGCCUUCGGGUUGUAAAGUACUUUCAGUCGUGAGGAAGGUGUUAAGGUUAAUAACCUUAGCAAUUGACGUUAGCGACAGAAGAAGCACCGGCUAACUCCGUGCCAGCAGCCGCGGUAAUACGGAGGGUGCGAGCGUUAAUCGGAAUUACUGGGCGUAAAGGGCACGCAGGCGGUUAAUUAAGUUGGAUGUGAAAUCCCCGGGCUUAACCUGGGAAUGGCAUUCAAGACUGGUUAGCUAGAGUCUUGUAGAGGGGGUAGAAUUCCGAUGUGUAGCGGUGAAAUGCGUAGAGAUGUGGAGGAAUACCGGUGGCGAAGGCGGCCCCUGGACAAAGGCUGACGCUCAUGUGCGAAAGCGUGGGGAGCAAAC
rnacentral:rRNA from 1 species